rnacentral:rRNA from 1 species
UGCGAACUCCUACGGGAGGCAGCAGUGGGGAAUAUUGGACAAUGGAGGGAACUCUGAUCCAGCAAUUCUGUGUGCAUGAAGAAGGUUUUCGGAUUGUAAAGUGCUUUCAGCAGGGAAGAAGAAGAUGACGGUACCUGCAGAAGAAGCGACGGCUAAAUACGUGCCAGCAGCCGCGGUAAUACGUAUGUCGCGAGCGUUAUCCGGAAUUAUUGGGCAUAAAGGGCAUCUAGGCGGCACGACAAGUCAGGGGUGAAAACUUGCGGCUCAACUGCAAGCUUGCCUUUGAAACUGUAGUGCUAGAGUAUUGGAAAGGUGGGCGGAACUACACGAGUAGAGGUGAAAUUCGUAGAUAUGUGUAGGAAUGCCGAUGAUGAAGAUAGCUCACUGGACGAUAACUGACGCUGAAGUGCGAAAGCUAGGGGAGCGAACAGGAUUAGAUACCCUUGUAGUCCUAG